rnacentral:rRNA from 1 species
AUUCCCACGUACCCCGAGGUCAGGGAUACCUCAGAGAAAUCUGAGACAAUACCUGAUAAUAUCGGAAACGAUCAAAGGUUUACCACCUUGGGAGCGGGGAAUCUCCUAUCAGCUAGUUGGUGAGGUAAUGGCUCACCAAGGCGAAGACGGGUAGCGGGUGUGAGAGCACGGCCCGCCGCAUCGAGACUGAGACACUGCUCGGACUCCUACGGGAGGCUGCAGUAACGAAUCUUCCGCAAUGCACGAAAGUGUGACGGGGCAAUGCCGCGUGUGGGAUGAAGCCCUUCGGGGUGUAAACUACUGUCAGGGACUACCAACAACAUGAGGAGUCCCAAAGGAAGAGCCGGCUAACUCUGUGCCAGCAGCCGCGGUAAUACAGAGGGCUCGAGCGUUAAUCGGAAUCACUGGGCUUAAAGCGUGCGUAGGCGGAUUUGAAGGCGCUUUGUGAAAUCCCUCGGCUCAACCGAGGAACUGCUUGGCGAACCACAAAUCUUGAGGCUGGUAGAGGUGGUCGGAACAAUAGGUGGAGCGGUGAAAUGCGUAGAUAUCUAUUGGAACACCGAAGGUGAAGACAGGCCACUGGGCCAGUCCUGACGCUGAGGCACGAAAGCGUGGGUAGCAAAACGGGAUUAGAUACCCCCGGUAGUCCACGCCGUAAACGAUGCGCACUUGGUCGAGGGGGUUGAACGCCUUCUCGGCGUAGAAAACUGAUUAGUGCGCCGCCUGGGGAGUACGGUCGCAGAUUAAAACUCAAAGGAAUUGACCGGGG